CCUACGGGAGGCAGCAGUGAGGAAUAUUGGUCAAUGGGCGGAAGCCUGAACCAGCCAAGUAGCGUGCAGGAUGACGGCCCUACGGGUUGUAAACUGCUUUUAUACGGGAAUAACGCGCCUUACGUGUAGGGCUUUGCAUGUACCGUAUGAAUAAGGACCGGCUAAUUCCGUACCAGCAGCCGCGGUAAUACGGAAGGUCCGGGCGUUAUCCGGAUUUAUUGGGUUUAAAGGGAGCUGAGGGGGCAUGUUAAGCCUGCUGUGAAAUGUCCGGGCUCAACCCGGGACUUGCAGCGCGACCUGGCGUGCUUGGGUCAGCGGAGAGCAGGCGGAAU
rnacentral:rRNA from 1 species